rnacentral:rRNA from 1 species
UACGGAGGGUGCAAGCGUUAUCCGGAUUCACUGGGUUUAAAGGGUGCGUAGGUGGGCAGGUAAGUCAGUGGUGAAAUCUCCGAGCUUAACUCGGAAACUGCCGUUGAUACUAUUUGUCUUGAAUAUUGUGGAGGUAAGCGGAAUAUGUCAUGUAGCGAUGAAAUGCUUAGAUAUGACAUAGAACACCAAUUGCGAAGGCAGCUUACUACACAACGAUUGACGCUGAGGCACGAAAGCGUGGGGAUCAAACAGG